rnacentral:ncRNA from 1 species
CACCGCCGCGUCGCUCCACCGUUCCGCAUCCGGUGAAGUGUUCGGAUCGGGCACUCGUCGUUCCGCAAAGUCCGCAACUUAUCAUUUAGAGGAAGGAGAAGUCGUAACAAGGUUUCCGUAGGUGAACCUGCGGAA